AUCCCAUGAUGUGGGCAUUUCCGAAGCAACUCCUUAAACCUUUCCUAAGCGUCGUAUAGAGACUCCCCCUCCAACUGAUGGAAAUCAUUAAUCUCUCCUCUAAUCCGGGU